rnacentral:rRNA from 1 species
UACAGAGGGUGCAAGCGUUGUUCGGAAUUAUUGGGCGUAAAGCGCGUGUAGGCGGCUUGGCAAGUCGGGUGUGAAAUCCCUCAGCUCAACUGAGGAAGUGCGCCCGAAACUGCUUGGCUUGAGUACCGGAGAGGAUGGUGGAAUUCCCGAAGUAGAGGUGAAAUUCGUAGAUAUCAGGAGGAACACCGGUGGCGAAGGCGGAUCUCUGGGCCUUACCUGACGCUCAGGCGCGAAAGCUAGGGGAGCGAACAGG